UCCUUCCUGCGGCGUCCCGGCCGCUGCUGCCCUGCCCGGUCCCCAUCCCGACCCCGAUCCCAUGCCCGAUCCUGAUCCCUGUCCCAUGCCCCUUCACAUGCCCCAUCCUGAUCCUGUGCUCGUUCCCGUUCCCGAUCCUGUUCCCAUUCCUGUACCCCAUCCUGAUCCUGAUUCCAUGCCCCUUCACAAUCCCCUUCCCCAAUCCCGUGCCUGUUCCCAUUCCCAUUCCCAUUCCUGAUCUCGUUCCAUUCCCAUUCCUGUUCCCGUUCCCAUUCCCAAUCCCAUUCCGUUCCUGUUCCCAUUCCCAUUCCGUUCCAUUCCCAUUCCCAGUCCUGUUCCCAUUCCCAAUCCCAUUCUGUUCCUGUUCCCAUUCCCAAUCCCAUUCUGUUCCUGUUCCCAAUCCCAAUCCCAUUCUGUUCCCUUUCCCAGUCCCAUUCCCAUUCCCAUUCCUGAUCCCACUCCUGCUUCGUUCCCAUUCCCCAUCCCGUUCCCUGGUUCCCAUUCCCAUUCCUUCUCCCAUUCCGCUCUCGUUCCUGUUCCAGUUUCUGUUCCCAUUCUCGUUCCCAUUCCCGAUCCCAUUCCCAUUUCCAUUCCCAAUCCCAUUCCCAAUCCUAUUUCCCAUUCCUAAUCCCAUUCCCGAUCCAAAUCCCAUUCCCGAUCCCAAUCCCAUUCCCAUUCCCAAUCCCAAUCCCAUUCCCAAUCCCAAUCCCAAUCCCAAUCCCAUUCCCGAUCCCAAUCCCAAUCCCAUUCCUGUUCCCAAUCCCAUUUCCCAUUCCCAAUCCCAUUCCCAUUCCCAAUCCCAAUCCCAUUCCCAAUCCCAUUCCCAUUCCCAAUCCCAUUCCCAAUCCCAAUCCCAUUCCCAUUCCCAAUCCCAAUCCCAAUCCCAUUCCCAUUCCAAAUCCCAAUCCCAUUCCCAAACCCAAUCCCAAUCCCAAUCCCAUUCCCAAUCCCAUUCCCAAUCCCAAUCUCAUUCCCAAUCCCAUUCCCAUUCCCAAUCCCAUUUCCCAUUCCCAAUCCCAAUCCCAUUCCCAAUCCCAUUCCCGUUCCCGGUGCCCGUCCAUGGUGGCGGGGCCAUCCCCUGCUAGGAUGCGCUGCAGAACCCACUGGGAUUAUCCCCCAGUACAAAUAUUGAUAGCCAAUAAAUAAAUAAAUCCAC
rnacentral:lncRNA from 1 species